CCUACGGGAGGCAGCAGUGAGGAAUAUUGGUCAAUGGGCGCGAGCCUGAACCAGCCAAGUCGCGUGAGGGAGGACGGCCCUACGGGUUGUAAACCUCUUUUGCCGGGGAGCAACGUGCGCCACGUGUGGCGUCCCUCAGAGUACCCGGAGACAAAGCCUGGGCUAACUCCGUUCCAGCAGCCGCGGUAAUCCGGAGGAUUCGAGGGUUCUCCGGAUUUAUUGGGUUAAAAGGGUGCGUAGGCGGCUCGUUAAGUCAGUGGUAAAAUUGAGGGGCUCAACCCCUUCCCGCCAUUGAAACUGGCGUGCUUGAGUGGAAGACAGGUAGGCGGAAUGCGUGGUGUAGCGGUGAAAUGCAUAGAUAUCACGCAGAACCCCGAUUGCGAAGGCAGCAUGCCGGCUUCCGACUGACGCUGAAGCACGAAAGCGUGGGGAUCGAACAGGAUUAGAUACCCGAGUAGUC
rnacentral:rRNA from 1 species